AGUGAACGCUGGCGGUAGGCCUAACACAUGCAAGUCGAACGGCAGCACAGUAAGAGCUUGCUCUUACGGGUGGCGAGUGGCGGACGGGUGAGGAAUACAUCGGAAUCUACUUUUUCGUGGGGGAUAACGUAGGGAAACUUACGCUAAUACCGCAUACGACCUACGGGUGAAAGCAGGGGAUCUUCGGACCUUGCGCGAUUGAAUGAGCCGAUGUCGGAUUAGCUAGUUGGCGGGGUAAAGGCCCACCAAGGCGACGAUCCGUAGCUGGUCUGAGAGGAUGAUCAGCCACACUGGAACUGAGACACGGUCCAGACUCCUACGGGAGGCAGCAGUGGGGAAUAUUGGACAAAGGGCGCAAGCCUGAUCCAGCCAUACAGCGUGGGUGAAGAAGGCCUUCGGGUUGUAAAGCCCUUUUGUUGGGAAAGAAAAGCAGCAGGUUAAUACCCCGCUGUUCUGACGGUACCCAAAGAAUAAGCACCGGCUAACUUCGUG
rnacentral:rRNA from 1 species